GAUUGAACGCUGGCGGCAGGCCUACCCCAUGCAAGUCGAGCGGAUGAAGGGAGCUUGCUCCUGGAUUCAGCGGCGGACGGGUGAGUAAUGCCUAGGAAUCUGCCUGGUAGUGGGGGAUAACGUCCGGAAACGGGCGCUAAUACCGCAUACGUCCUGAGGGAGAAAGUGGGGGAUCUUCGGACCUCACGCUAUCAGAUGAGCCUAGGUCGGAUUAGCUAGUUGGUGGGGUAAAGGCCUACCAAGGCGACGAUCCGUAACUGGUCUGAGAGGAUGAUCAGUCACACUGGAACUGAGACACGGUCCAUACUCCUACGGGAGGCAGCAGUGGGGAAUAUUGGACAAUGGGCGAAAGCCUGAUCCAGCCAUGCCGCGUGUGUGAAGAAGGUCUUCGGAUUGUAAAGCACUUUAAGUUGGGAGGAAGGGCAGUAAGUUAAUACCUUGCUGUUUUGACGUUACCAACAGAAUAAGCACCGGCUAACUUCGUG
rnacentral:rRNA from 1 species